rnacentral:rRNA from 1 species
AUUAAACGCUGGCGGCAUGCCUUACACAUGCAAGUCGAACGGCAGCACGGGGGCAACCCUGGUGGCGAGUGGCGGACGGGUGAGUAAAGCAUCGGAACGUAUCCUGGAGUGGGGGGAUAACGUAGCGAAAGUUACGCUAAUACCGCAUAUUCUGUGAGCAGGAAAGCAGGGGAUCGCAAGACCUUGCGCUCUGGGAGCGGCCGAUGUCGGAUUAGCUAGUUGGUGGGUAAAGGCCUACCAAGGCGACGAUCCGUAGCGGGUCUGAGAGGAUGAUCCGCCACACUGGGACUGAGACACGGCCCAGACUCCUACGGGAGGCAGCAGUGGGGAAUUUUGGACAAUGGGCGGAAGCCUGAUCCAGCCAUGCCGCGUGAGUG